UACAGAGGUCCCAAGCGUUGUUCGGAUUCACUGGGCGUAAAGGGUGCGUAGGUGGCCUGGUAAGUUUGAUGUGAAAUCUCCGAGCUUAACUCGGAAACUGCAUUGAAUACUAUUUGGGCUGGAGGUUUUGGAGGGGGACUGGAAAUUCUUGGUGUAGCAGUGAAAUGCGUAGAUAAUCAAGAGGAACACCAGUGGCGAAGCGAGUCCCCUGGACAACACCUGACACUGAGGCACGAAAGCUAGGGGAGCAAAACAGGA
rnacentral:rRNA from 1 species